rnacentral:rRNA from 1 species
AUUAAACGCUGGCGGCAUGGCUAAAGCAUGCAAGUCGCGGGAGAAGCACCUUCGGGUGUGGACACCGGCGAAAGGGCGAGGAACGGUAUCGAACGUACCCCGGAGUGGAGGAUAGCCAGUGGAAACGCUGAGUAAUACUCCAUGAUCUCUCAGGAGCAAAGCUACGGCGCUCCGGGAGCGGCGAUACUCCUAUCAGGUUGUUGGUGGGGUAAUGGCCUACCAAGCCGAAGACGGGUAGCGGGUGUGAGAGCAUGACCCGCCGCAUCGGAACUGAGACACUGUCCGGACUCCUACGGGAGGCUGCAGCGACGAAUCUUCCGCAAUGCACGAAAGUGUGACGGAGCAAUGCCGCGUGUGGGAUGAAUCGGCUCUGCCGUGUAAACCACUGUCAGGAACUAGUAAUACUGAACAGUUCCAGAGGAAGGGCCGGCUAACCUCG